GCAGUCUUAGUAUAGUGGUUAGUACAGCUCGUUGUGGCUUCAGGUCCCUUGAGUUAGCAAGGCUUUGCGCCGAGCAGACGGAUGUUCGAUUCCUCCAGACUGCA
rnacentral:tRNA from 1 species